rnacentral:rRNA from 1 species
GAUGAACGCUGGCGGCGUGCCUAAUACAUGCAAGUAGAACGCUGAAGGAGGAGCUUGCUCUUUCCGGAUGAGUUGCGAACGGGUGAGUAACGCGUAGGUAACCUGCCUGGUAGCGGGGGAUAACUAUUGGAAACGAUAGCUAAUACCGCAUAACAGUAGAUAUUGCAUGAUAUUUGCUUGAAAGGGGCAAUUGCUCCACUACCAGAUGGACCUGCGUUGUAUUAGCUAGUUGGUGAGGUAACGGCUCACCAAGGCGACGAUACAUAGCCGACCUGAGAGGGUGAUCGGCCACACUGGGACUGGGACACGGCCCAGACUCCUACGGGAGGCAGCAGUAGGGAAUCUUCGGCAAUGGACGGAAGUCUGACCGAGCAACGCCGCGUGAGUGAAGAAGGUUUUCGGAUCGUAAAGCUCUGUUGUAAGAGAAGAACGAGUGUGAGAGUGGAAAGUUCACACUGUGACGGUAUCUUAACAGAAAGGGACGGCUAACUACGUG